rnacentral:rRNA from 1 species
CCUACGGGUGGCAGCAGUGAGGAAUAUUGGUCAAUGGACGGAAGUCUGAACCAGCCAUGCCGCGUGCAGGAAGACGGCUCUAUGAGUUGUAAACUGCUUUUGUACAAGGGUAAACCUGAAUACGUGUAUUCAGCUGAAAGUACUGUACGAAUAAGGAUCGGCUAACUCCGUGCCAGCAGCCGCGGUAAUACGGAGGAUCCAAGCGUUAUCCGGAUUUAUUGGGUUUAAAGGGUGCGUAGGCGGAUUGAUAAGUUAGAGGUGAAAUGUCCGAGCUUAACUCGGGAACUGCCUCUAAUACUGUUGUUCUAGAGAGUAGAUGCGGUAGGCGGAAUGUAUGGUGUAGCGGUGAAAUGCUUAGAGAUCAUACAGAACACCGAUUGCGAAGGCAGCUUACCAAUCUAUAUCUGACGUUGAGGCACGAAAGCGUGGGGGGCAAACAGGAUUAGAUACCCCAGUAGUC